rnacentral:rRNA from 1 species
UACAGAGGUCCCAAGCGUUGUUCGGAUUCACUGGGCGUAAGGGUGCGUAGGUGGUGAGGUAAGUCGGAUGUGAAAGCUCGGAGCUCAACUCCGAAAUGGCAUUGGAAACUACCUUGCUCGAGGGUUGGAGGGGGGACUGGAAUUCUCGGUGUAGCGGUGAAAUGCGUAGAUAUCGAGAGGAACACCUGCGGCGAAGGCGGGUUGCUGGGCCGACACUGACGCUGAUGCGCGAAAGCCAGGGGAGCGAACGGG